AUACUUCAGCUCUGACAAGCACCAUGGCCACUCUCUCCCUGCCUGACUGAACGGUCAGUCGAUGCUGUCCCUGAGGAGCCAUGCCUUGCCUUAGGUUUCCCAGACAGUCCUCUGAAAGGCUGGGGAACCACCACUUGGAAAUAAAGCUGCUUAAUGGCCUCAUCAAGAGCACUGAGCUGCAGAAACAGACUUCCACUGAGAUCCAGAAGAUAGGAAGGCUGCUCUGAAAAAUAAGCAGCAUGCAGGGAACUGAGUGCUCUGCUCUCUCAUGCUUGCUGCAGGAAGCCUUGAGAAACAGACCAGAAAAAGGUCUCAGGAAGAUGAAUAUUUGAAGAAAAACUCUGAAAUAAAUUUAUCCUCUGGUGUAUAUGCCAAUGCAGACAAUGUCCCAUCACUGUAAUUGUCACUCAGCUGUCUGUCAGUGAUGAGAAGAAAAGGGUGACAGCCUUGACAUCCCACCAAUCAUCCCUCUGGAAAAUUGAUAUCGUCCUCCCCGGUAAACAACAGCUAAAGAAUCGACCAGCCUUGCCAGCACAUCCCUGAACAAUCAGCUUCCAUUAAGGGCAGAAGCCACACAUUUAUCCCACCGUACUCCAAUCAAUAGUACACUGACUUGUUCUAUGCUCAAGCAUACCACUGCUCAAGGUCUGCAUUUAGUAAAGGCUUGCUUUCAAGUCUUUCAAACUUAAAUGUACAAUGGAGCUUCUGGGGUGUAAGUAAAGUCCUCUACUUUCAUGUAAAAUAUCUUGUCAAUUUGGCAUACUUACUUAAAUUCCCAGGAAGUUUAGCAGAUUGUUUUCUUGAUUAAAUUUUACUUUCUUUAGCAGUAAACUAAAAUCCACAAAAAUAAUAAAAUAGUAGUAAUUGAAAAGCAUUGGUUUGUCCGUUGCAGGAUUGCAGUUAUAUAUAUACAUGCUUUAGAGGAAUUUUACAUAAAUAGUAUAAAAGCUGACCUUAUUUAAAAUGACCUUAUGUGUAGUUAUACACUGAAAAUAUUGUCUGGCAAUCAGAACCGUUUGUUAAAUGUGAGGUCCCCAAUUGUUUAUACAUCAAUUAGUAACAUACCAACGUAUGUUACGUUAGACAGUUAGAUUGGUAAUGCAAUAAAAUCACUGAAAGGUGGUACACACAAUCUUUCAAGUUAAGAAAAAUAGUUAUUUACAUGAACAUAGAAUUUGUCUCCGCAGGAAAAGCAAAACAGGGGCCAGCAGGCUCACUUCACAACUUGAAAGAAAAGAAAAACAAAAACACCAGAAAUGCUGCAAACCUGCAAACCUGUAACUGCAGUUGCAGAUUAGUACUUCACUCUGUUACUUGACAUGAGGCGCUAAGUCAGCAGUUGCUGUUGUUAGCACGCGAACAUUUCUUCUGUAGAUUAUCUAGAAAUCAACUGGGGCCAUUACAGUACCAAAUCUCCUACACAGAUCACAGGAGGCAUGGCUACCCUGCUCAUUGACUUAACAUUUCUAACAUUAGAGCAUCUCCACUUCAAAUUUUGUAUCCUGACCCUCACUUGCAACCUUGAGGGUCUUCAUCAGCACACACCCCAGUGACACUGUGGCAAUGCCUCUCCCAGUGUCCCAAGUGCUCUUCUGCUUGCAGCCUUAUGCUGACAGGUACAAACUACUGUUGUAGUGGUUUCUUGUGGCAAACAAUUUGCUAAUGCCUGAAUCACUCUCUGCCUCAUAGCUUCUAACCUGCAAGACCAGGAUAAGAUCUCUUCACCUUCCCCUUGCUGUCUUAUAGCUUAGAACUGCAGCAUCCCACAGAUAACAUAACAGGUCAGACAAAUACAAAUCUAGUGAGCACGUUCCUGUAAUAUUCAUGUACACAAAGCUUGACCACAAACCAAUAUGCAAGACUUGUACCUGAUCACACCUGGUCUCACAAGUGCUUAUUGCACUGUAAGCAAGAACAUGCAGUCAGAAGUUUAGCUUGGUCCUGAUAAUAGUAUGUUCUGUAACAAGUGUUCGGGCUGCAUGGAAGAGAACACUUCAGGAAUACUCCUCACUUUUCUUUCUAGCUGACCACUAACAAGAGAUCUUCUUUUCUUCCUUCUGACCUCUUUUCUCCUUGUUUUUGUUUUCCAGCCAAUGUAACUUUGAAGCUGAUAUAUGCCAUCAGCUAUGAACCCCACUAAUAAAGCAUUGUGCAUGUAAGUGUGCCUGAAAAGUUUGUGCAACAUCAUCAGCAACUACUGACAGCAGAUAAAAUGACAACUGUUAGUAACCAGUACAGAGAUUACAUUUUCUCCAAAUACAAGUAGUAGAUUUUGAAUUUCCAAAUUAUCACUGUGAUCACAACAUCAUGCAUCUUGAUAAAAUGUUACUACAAAAUUACAAUGAUUUUUGAGAUAGGAGUUAUUAUUUGUAGAGUUAAGACCCUCUGCCAUUACUUGAACUUGAAAAUGUUAAAUUCUACAUACACAUAUAUAAGUAAAAUUCUUAAAAUUCUUAAGUUCAGAUUAUAAAGAAAAAUUAAGGAUUACCAUGAUAGGUUUCAUUUGUUUGGAGAUGUAGACACUACUGGUGCAAUGCGUAAAUCAUUAGGGAAUUCACUGUCCCCUUCACUUUGUUAAAUGGACACAAUCAAUACCUUAAUGGGAAUGUUUGGAAGCAUCCAUGGGCAGAUCAAAUUGGCACAUUACAACACUUUUUCCAGCCUCUACACUAAGUUCAUUAACUUCUCUCAUUUGAAUUACAAAUUUCAUUUCUCAGAUCAAGAUGAAGACAUGGCUCUCAUUUACAAGCUCAGAUUUUUUGCUGUGUUAAUGUUUUACAGUGAACAAUAAAGUUAAUGCAGUGGAGAGA